rnacentral:rRNA from 1 species
AGCGAACGCUGGCGGCAGGCCUAACACAUGCAAGUCGAACGAACUCUUCGGAGUUAGUGGCGGACGGGUGAGUAAGACGUGGGAACGUGCCUUUAGGUUCGGAAUAACUCAGGGAAACUUGUGCUAAUACCGAAUGUGCCCUUCGGGGGAAAGAUUUAUCGCCUUUAGAGCGGCCCGCGUCUGAUUAGCUAGUUGGUGAGGUAAAGGCUCACCAAGGCGACGAUCAGUAGCUGGUCUGAGAGGAUGAUCAGCCACAUUGGGACUGAGACACGGCCCAAACUCCUACGGGAGGCAGCAGUGGGGAAUCUUGCGCAAUGGGCGAAAGCCUGACGCAGCCAUGCCGCGUGAAUGAUGAAGGUCUUAGGAUUGUAAAAUUCUUUCACCGGGGACGAUAAUGACGGUACCCGGAGAAGAAGCCCCGGCUAACUUCGUG